GGAUGCGAUCAUACCAGCACUAAAGCGUCGGAACCCAUCAGAACUCUGAAGUUAAGCAUGCUUGGGCGAGAGUAGUACUAGGAUGGGUGACCUCCUGGGAAGUCCUCCUGUUGCAUUCC
rfam:Triticum aestivum genome assembly, contig: Triticum_aestivum_CS42_TGACv1_scaffold_050051_1BS